AGAACGAACGCUGGCGGCAGGCUUAACACAUGCAAGUCGAGCGCCCCGCAAGGGGAGCGGCAGACGGGAGAGUAACACGUGGGAACGUACCUUUCGGUUCGGAACAACCCAGGGAAACUUGGGCUAAUACCGGAUACGUCCGUAAGGAGAAAGAUUUAUCGCCGAAAGAUCGGCCCGCGUCUGAUUAGCUAGUUGGUGAGGUAACGGCUCACCAAGGCGACGAUCAGUAGCUGGUCUGAGAGGAUGAUCAGCCUCACUGGGACUGAGACACGGCCCAGACUCCUACGGGAGGCAGCAGUGGGGAAUAUUGGACAAUGGGCGCAAGCCUGAUCCAGCCAUGCCGCGUGGGUGAUGAAGGCCCUAGGGUUGUAAAGCCCUUUCGGCGGGGAAGAUAAUGACGGUACCCGCAGAGAAGCCCGGCUAACUCGUGCCAGCAGCCGC
rnacentral:rRNA from 1 species